rnacentral:rRNA from 1 species
UACGGAGGGGGCUAGCGUUGUUCGGAAUUACUGGGUGUAAAGCGCACGUAGGCGGCUUUGUAAGUUAGAGGUGAAAGCCCAGGGCUUAACCCUGGAAUUGCCUUUAAGACUGCAUCGCUAGAAUCGUGGAGAGGUGAGUGGAAUUCCGAGUGUAGAGGUGAAAUUCGUAGAUAUUCGGAAGAACACCAGUGGCGAAGGCGACUCACUGGACACGUAUUGACGCUGAGGUGCGAAAGCGUGGGGAGCAAACAGGG